GUGGAAAUCAGCUUUUUUCAGUGAACGGAUUGCGUUUGAUCUGCGCGUUCAUAGCAAUAUUAUAGUCAGAAGUUUUAGGCCUAACAAGACCGGUGAAAGUGUAUUCGUCACAAUGGCUUGGAUACAGUUUUGCCUCAUUGCAUUUCUACUUCCAUGGAUCGACUCUGAUUCAGACAUGUAUGCGUGCCAUAAACGAUACAAGUUCUUCUGUAACACGUCGCGGGAGUACAUCCACAAGUUUUCUUUAUGUAACGGAUAUAUAGGGGAUAUUAUGAUAGGACGCUUUUCUGGUGACCUGUAUCACGUCGAGUUCGGUGUGUAAACACGUAUCCAACGGGACCGCAGGUCGGGACGGAUACAUGUUUACUCAAAAAGUGACAAAAAUCAAUGCUGUUAUUAUAAGUCUACACACCGAAUUCUUACUAUUGAAGCGACUGUGUCGCUGAUUAAAACUUUUUAAACUUCAACCGCCAAAGUAAUGGACACACUAAUGAGUGAAUACUAAUGACGUCACUCAGUUAUGACAUUGAUCUUAUUAAUGAUUUACUUGAUUUAAAUAUAUUUGAAUAUGUAGUUUUGUUGUUUAUAAGUGGAACCUUUGUAAAUCAGUUGAUAAUUGAGUCAUGUUUCAAGUUUUGUUUUAUUGUAAUUAAAAAGGUUUUUUUAUGUCGGAC